GGGGAUGUAAAGGUUUCGACGGGGAGAGGAAAGCGAGAGCAGCGGGUAGUGUUCGGGGGACACACUCAAAACGCCUCCAAAAAAAUAGCUAACAACAACAAAUUGGCUGUUGCUGCCUAACUAAGGCAGCUGUCCUGCCCACUCCAGCGCCGUGUGGGGCCAGGGCAUCAUUUAGGCGCUGAACGUGAACGGCCUCAAGCUUUGCGGGCCGUCAUGACCUCAUGAAGCUACCGGAGCGCCGGCGUGUUUAUCCGCCUGACGCCGAGGGAAUCCUGUAGAUAAACUGCACCCGGAGAUACUCGCGCAGACUUCUUUUCGGACAGGGGUUCGACUCCCCUCAUCUCCACCA
rnacentral:tmRNA from 2 species